rnacentral:lncRNA from 1 species
GAGGGCGUGUGAGGGGCGAGGUUUAAGUGGACGCAGCAAGCAGCCUUGCGUCUUGACGUCACGAAGACCUUAUAAACUCGACUCAGCCGCCAUCUCGGCCUUUCGGAGCUGUGCGGCACGCUGAGCAGGAAUGGCAAUGUGGACCCCUGUGAUGGGACAUCUUGUGGGAUCUUACAGCCAGAUCUGUGGCAAAGGAGGAUGAAGGCUUAUGAGGACUCGUCAGGAAGCUGGAUAACAGAACGAGCGCAAUGUGCUAGAAUAGAAGACCAGAAAAUGAAAUGGUGGAGUUUGAGGCUGGAUAGACAGUUUGAAAGGUACAAAUGAUGGUUUGAAUAAAGAAAGAUAUUACGCAUGGGUCACCUCAAGUGAAGGCGCUGCAAGCACAAUGAUUGGUCAUUCUGAAUUUCCCGUCCUUCAUUCUGAAUUUCAAAGGCUCCUGUGACAAGUGGACAUGCAGUGACUGUACCUUUUGUACCUUUGUUUCUGAGGUGCCUGGAUGGAGGCUCAAAUAGAAGAUGGUGUCAGAUAUAUUGUGUUGUCAAAAUUUUGCCAUUAAAGUGUAUUAUAACAUU